UACGGGGGGGGCAAGCGUUAAUCGGAAUUACUGGGCGUAAAGCGUGCGUAGACGGUCAUGUAAGUCGGGUGUGAAAGCCCCGGGCUCAACCUGGGAAUUGCAUUCGAGACUGCAUGGCUAGGAUGCGGAAGAGGGAAGCGGAAUUUCCGGUGUAGCGGUGAAAUGCGUAGAUAUCGGAAGGAACACCAGUGGCGAAAGCGGCUUCCUGGUCCAGCAUCGACGUUCAGGCACGAAAGCGUGGGGAGCAAACAGG
rnacentral:rRNA from 1 species